rnacentral:rRNA from 1 species
UACGAAGGGGGCUAGCGUUGUUCGGAAUUACUGGGCGUAAAGCGCACGUAGGCGGAGAUUUAAGUCAGGGGUGAAAUCCCGCAGCUCAACUGCGGAACUGCCGUUGAUACUGUGUAUCUCGAGUAUGGAAGAGGUGAGUGGAAGUCCGAGUGUAGAGGUGACAUUCGUAGCUAUUCGGAGGAACAACAGGGGCGAAGGCGGCUCACUGGUCCAUUACUGACGCUGAGGUGCGAAAGCGUGGGGAGCAAACAGGAUUAGAUACCCGUGGAGUCC